GGCGGACGGGUGCGUAAUGCGUAGGGAUCUACCUCGUUGCGUGGGAUAGCCUAGGGAAACUUAGGGUAAUACCGCAUAAGUCUUACGAGAGAAAGCAGGGGACCGAAAGGCCUUGCACAAUGAGAUGAGCCUACGUCGGAUUAGCUAGUUGGUAGGGUAAAGGCCUACCAAGGCAACGAUCCGUAGCUGGUCUGAGAGGACGACCAGCCACACUGGGACUGAGACACGGCCCAGACUCCUACGGGAGGCAGCAGUGGGGAAUAUUGGACAAUGGGCGCAAGCCUGAUCCAGCAAUGCCGCGUGUGUGAAGAAGGCCUGCGGGUUGUAAAGCACUUUCAGUGGGGAGAAAUGACUCUGAACUAAUAUUUCAGAGGGUUGAUGUUACCCACAGAAGAAGCACCGGCUAACUCUGUGCCAGCAGCCGCGGUAAUACAGAGGGUGCGAGCGUUAAUCGGAAUUACUGGGCGUAAAGGGUGCGUAGGUGGUUGUAUAAGUUAGGUGUGAAAGUCCUGGGCUUAACCUGGGGAUUGCGCCUAAUACUGUUCAACUAGAGUGCUGUAGAGGGAAGUGGAAUUUCCGGUGUAGCGGUGAAAUGCGUAGAUAUCGGAAGGAACAUCAGUGGCGAAGGCGACUUCCUGGACAGACACUGACACUGAGGCACGAAAGCGUGGGGAGCAAACAGGAUUAGAUACCCUGGUAGUCC
rnacentral:rRNA from 1 species